GUUUUGCAAAGUUCUACACACAGAUCAGUGAACCUUAAGCGCCCUUGUUCAGCCCCACAUUGUGGAGGUUUGUCAAUGGAAAAUGCUGAAAGCUGUAGGCAACAGUGCACUUAAAAGGGAAAAUGAGGAGCUCCGUAGAUUGGAUAAAAUUAACCUGCCACAAACAACCUCAUUAAAGAACUGCCUACCAAGAGUUAAGAAUUAAUAGCAAAAUGGAUGGG
rnacentral:lncRNA from 1 species